AAAAAUUGUUUGAUUACAGAAAUAUACUCAUUGGAGCUUGACUCAGCCACAAAAUGUUGUUGUAGUAAUUGAAAGAAAAAAUCAGAUUUCAAGACAGACACUACAGUUUUUAUAUAAUUUUUUUCUGCUGGCAUAUAUUAAUUAUUUUUAAUAUUUUUCAACUGACAAAUUGUGACAAAUAUUAUGUGUUUAAAAUUUAAAUAUUAUAAUUGUUUUUUUCAUAUCAUAAUUAUGAGAAGAUAAUGAAAAAAUUUGAAUUUUUAAUAAUAUUAAUUGUCAUUUUUAAAAUUCAAUCAACUUGUGCACGUCUUUUAAAUUGUCAAGAAGAAAAAUAUUGGUGUAUUAAUAUAAAAACAGCAAAUCAAUGUGAUAAAAUUAAUUAUUGCAAAGUGAUUUGGGAUAAAAAAAAAGUGCCAGAUAAUUCAAUUAAAAAAAAAAGUAUUAUCGAAAUAAAUAUGUCGACAUUGAGAUGUGCUCGUCGAUUUAAAGAGCCAAAUGAACUUCGUUUUAUAUUUUGGUAUAUCUCGUGUGAUUAACAAUUUAAUUUUAUUAAAUUAAUUUUAAAAUAAAUAAAAUUAUUUAACAAUACAUGAAAAAAAAAAAAUCAAUGUUUCUAUUGUUGGAAAACUUGGGUUUUCUAACCGCUAGGUGUCUAAUAGUCGAGAGAAUUUUUUCUAUGUGAUUCACAGAUGGAAGUUAUUCAAAAACCCCCGUGAAACGAGCUUAAGCAUACUUACCUGGCGCAGAGGAUACCGUGAUCAUGAAGGCGGUUCCUCCAGAAUGAGGCUCUUCCAUUGCACUACGGUUGAGCUGAACUCUGCGAAUAUCCCUAAUGUGGAUAUCUCGGGCGUAUAAUUUUUGGUAGUCGGGACUGCGUUCGCGCUAUCCCGUUCAUAAUUAAUUAAAAAAUAAAAUAUAUCUUCUACUCUUAAUUAAUAAUGUUCCAAAUUCAUAAUUCUGAUAUUACUCCAAAAUUAAUUUCAAUUGGAGAAUCAAUUUAGACCAUAAUGCAUAAUUAUUAAUUACCAUCAGACAAUUAAAAUAAUAAGAAAAAUAAAUUUGCCAAAAUGAUAUAUUAAUUUUUUUCGUUUACAUAUAUAAUUGAUCAUCAUUUAUAAAUUACCAGUUUUGUACUGUUUGAACAUAUUGAGGUGUAAAUGAUGUAGCAUAAAAAAGUUUAUUGAAAAAUUAAUGUAUUGCUAUUUUUUUUUGUUCUAAUUUAUUUCUAAUUGUACGUACUAUUCGAACUUUUCACACAAAAUAUUCAGUUGAAACUUGAAAGAGAAGAAAUCUAUACUUAUGUUGAUGAUUAUGUUGUCAAAAAAAAAUAUAUAUAAAUGAAAGAUUAAGUGUUUAUUAAUUUGUUAUAGACUGAAUAUUAUUUAUAAUGGGUGAUUUUGUAACAAACAAUAAUAAUUGUGGACAAAAUUUAUUACAACUUGUUCCAAGUGGAAAUGCAACACUUGCUGAAUUAAUGAGACUAAAAGAAUAUGUUCCUCCAGUAUUCAGGUUGUAAUAAUAAAAAUAAUAACAAUUUAUAUUUAAAUAACAAUACUUAGUAUAUUGUUAAUAUAAUUAUUAAAUUUUCAGACUCGAUUCAAAACAAUGUACUUAAAAAUACAAUUGUAUUUGAUUUUGCUUAUUUUAAAGCAGCAAAUAUACAUGAAGAAAAAAUAGAAAAUGAUCCAGUAAAUAUUAAAUUUAUUUAUCACAUAUUUUCAUUGAAAUAUCAUUAUAUUAUGAAUAGAAAAUUAUUUUGUUUAAUAUUAAAGAUACUUCAAGAAUGUGAUGAAAAUUUACGUGAAAAUUAUUCAGAUGUUUUAACACGUUUUUAUCUGGCAUUUGAAAUUAUCCACAAAUACAUAACUUAGUUCAUGGAGGUCUAUAAAACUCCAUGACUUAGCUAAAUAGUUAUGUUGAUGAUUUAGAGGAUAAUAUUUAUACUCAGCAGUCACUUGAGACUGUCAUAUUGAAUGAUGAAGAAUAACAAUUACUAGUAAGUACUUGUAAAUAAUUUGUUAGCUUGAAAAAUGAUGUUUAAUAAAUUAAUAAUUAAAUUAUUUUUAGUGUGAAGCAUUAUGUCUUCAUGGUGUUGUUCUUCUUCUUGUUGAUCAUCAAUUUGGUGGUCAAACACGUGAAAGAUUAUUAGUAUUUAAUCAUCGUUACAAUGCCCAAGUUGAUGAAAUAUAUUUACAUAUACGUUCAACUGGUUUAUUCAAAAUCAUCACAAAAACGUCCACCAAAUUAUCCGGAUGAUUACUUCAAACAUGUACCAAUUAAACCAAAUUUGAUUGACUUACUAAUUGGCAAACCACAAUCAGAUGAAAUAUAUAACCAAAAUAUUGCAUUUUCAAAUCCAGAUACUUGAAUACCUGGCAAAGAAGAAAGUUUAAAGAAUUUAUUAAUAAAUAAUACAAAUAAAUCUGAUGUUACAUUUAUUAAAAAUAGCAACAGUAGCACCAGUAAUAACAGCAACAAUAAUUGUGAUACAUUUCUUGGUAGACUUGCUAAAGGAUUGAUUAAAUUAACAGAUCCAAAAUUAACAAUUUACAUGAAACACACGUGGGCAUGGUAUGAUUUAUUAACUCAAAAUGAGCUGUUAAAUCAUAAAAUAUUUUCAAUAAUAUUACGAGCAAUGGGAACACCUGGAUUAUAUGGGCUUGAUAAAUCAUUAUCACAUUAUAUUAAUCAAGAAUUAAAUAAUAUUUAUAAACACAUUGAUAUAUUUAAU